rnacentral:Y_RNA from 1 species
GGUUGGUCCGAGUGCAGUGGUGUUUACAACUAAUUGAUAACAACCAGUUACAGAUUCCUUUGUUCCUUCUCCACUCCCACUGCUUCACUUGACCAACCUUUA